ensembl:lncRNA
UGACAAUGGAGAGGUUUGGGUUUGUUAUUUAUGUAACAUUGAAUGUGUAGGGUACAGUAAGAGUGUUGAAUGUGUAGAGUAAGAGUGUUGAAUGUGUAGGGUACAGUAAGAGUGUUGAAUGUGUAGAGUAAGAGUGUUGAAUGUGUAGGGUUCAGUUAGAGUGUUGAAUGUGUAGAGUAAGAGUUUUGAAUGUGUAGGGUACAGUUAGAGUGUUGAAUGUGUAGGGUUCAGUAAGAGUGUUGAAUGUGUAGGGUACAGUUAGAGUGUUGAAUGUGUAGAGUAAGAGUGUUGAAUGUGUAGGGUACAGUAAGAGUGUUGAAUGUGUAGAGUAAGAGUGUUGAAUGUGUAGGGUUCAGUUAGAGUGUUGAAUGUGUAGAGUAAGAGUUUUGAAUGUGUAGGGUACAGUUAGAGUGUUGAAUGUGUAGGGUUCAGUAAGAGUGUUGAAUGUGUAGGGUACAGUUAGAGUGUUGAAUGUGUAGAGUAAGAGUGUUGAAUGUGUAGGGUACAGUAAGAGUGUUGAAUGUGUAGAGUAAGAGUAUUGAAUGUGUAGGGUUCAGUUAGAGUGUUGAAUGUGUAGAGUAAGAGUUUUGAAUGUGUAGGGUACAGUUAGAGUGUUGAAUGUGUAGGGUUCAGUAAGAGUGUUGAAUGUGUAGGGUACAGUUAGAGUGUUGAAUGUGUAGAGUAAGAGUGUUGAAUGUGUAGGGUUCAGUUAGAGUGUUGAAUGUGUAGGGUUCAGUUAGAGUGUUGAAUGUGUAGGGUACAGUUAGAGUGUUGAAUGUGUAGAGUAAGAGUGUUGAAUGUGUAGGGUACAGUAAGAGUGUUGAAUGUGUAGAGUAAGAGUGUUGAAUGUGUAGGGUUCAGUUAGAGUGUUGAAUGUGUAGAGUAAGAGUUUUGAAUGUGUAGGGUACAGUUAGAGUGUUGAAUGUGUAGGGUUCAGUAAGAGUGUUGAAUGUGUAGGGUACAGUUAGAGUGUUGAAUGUGUAGAGUAAGAGUGUUGAAUGUGUAGGGUUCAGUUAGAGUGUUGAAUGUGUAGGGUUCAGUUAGAGUGUUGAAUGUGUAGGGUUCAGUAAGAGUGUUGAAUGUGUAGGGUUCAGUAAGGUAUUCUGCCUUCC